AGAGUUUGAUCCUGGCUCAGGAUGAACGCUGGCGGCGUGCUUAACACAUGCAAGUCGAGCGAAGCACUUUUGCGGAUUUCUUCGGAUUGAAGCAAUUGUGACUGAGCGGCGGACGGGUGAGUAACGCGUGGGUAACCUGCCUCAUACAGGGGGAUAACAGUUGGAAACGGCUGCUAAUACCGCAUAAGCGCACAGUACCGCAUGGUACCGUGUGAAAAACUCCGGUGGUAUGAGAUGGACCCGCGUCUGAUUAGGUAGUUGGUGGGGUAACGGCCUACCAAGCCGACGAUCAGUAGCCGACCUGAGAGGGUGACCGGCCACAUUGGGACUGAGACACGGCCCAAACUCCUACGGGAGGCAGCAGUGGGGAAUAUUGCACAAUGGGGGAAACCCUGAUGCAGCGACGCCGCGUGAAGGAAGAAGUAUCUCGGUAUGUAAACUUCUAUCAGCAGGGAAGAUAGUGACGGUACCUGACUAAGAAGCCCCGGCUAACUACGUGCCAGCAGCCGCGGUAAUACGUAGGGGGCAAGCGUUAUCCGGAUUUACUGGGUGUAAAGGGAGCGUAGACGGUGUGGCAAGUCUGAUGUGAAAGGCAUGGGCUCAACCUGUGGACUGCAUUGGAAACUGUCAUACUUGAGUGCCGGAGGGGUAAGCGGAAUUCCUAGUGUAGCGGUGAAAUGCGUAGAUAUUAGGAGGAACACCAGUGGCGAAGGCGGCUUACUGGACGGUAACUGACGUUGAGGCUCGAAAGCGUGGGGAGCAAACAGGAUUAGAUACCCUGGUAGUCCACGCCGUAAA
rnacentral:rRNA from 1 species